rnacentral:rRNA from 1 species
AACGAACGCUAGCGGGAGGCCUAACACAUGCAAGCCGAGCGGUAUUUCUUCUUCGGAAGAGAGAGAGCGGCGUACGGGUGCGGAACACGUGUGCAACCUGCCUUUAUCUAGAGGAUAGCCUUUCGAAAGGAAGAUUAAUACUCUAUAAUAUAUUAAUUGGCAUCAAUUGAUAUUGAAAACUCCGGUGGAUAGAGAUGGGCACGCGCAAGAUUAGCUAGUUGGUGAGGUAACGGCUCACCAAGGCAAUGAUCUUUAGGGGGCCUGAGAGGGUGAUCCCCCACACUGGUACUGAGACACGGACCAGACUCCUACGGGAGGCAGCGGUGAGGAAUAUUGGUCAAUGGGUGCAAGCUUGAACCAGCCAUCCCGCGUGAAGGAUUAAGGUCCUAUGGAUUGUAAACUUCUUUUGUAUAGGGAUAAACCUACCCUCGUGAGGGUAGCUGAAGGUACUAUACGAAUAAGCACCGGCUAACUCCGUGCCAGCCGCCGCCGUAAAAC